CCUUUGACGUUAGCGGCGGACGGGUGAGUAACACGUGGGUAACCUACCUAUAAGACUGGGAUAACUUCGGGAAACCGGAGCUAAUACCGGAUAAUAUUUCGAACCGCAUGGUUCGAUAGUGAAAGGUGGUUUUGCUAUCACUUAUAGAUGGACCCGCGCCGUAUUAGCUAGUUGGUAAGGUAACGGCUUACCAAGGCGACGAUACGUAGCCGACCUGAGAGGGUGAUCGGCCACACUGGAACUGAGACACGGUCCAGACUCCUACGGGAGGCAGCAGUU
rnacentral:rRNA from 1 species